rnacentral:tRNA from 1 species
GCGAGUGUAGCUCAGCUGGUUAGAGCGCUAGACUGUGACUCUUGAGGCCGCCGGUUCAAUUCCGGUCACUCGCCCCA